GGAUAUAUCGUCAUAGGUAUGACAAACUAUUUGCUAUAUAGUAGGUAUUAUACCUUAUGAGUUCGAAUCUCAUUGUAUCCG
rnacentral:tRNA from 1 species